AGCGAACGCUGGCGGCAGGCCUAACACAUGCAAGUCGAACGGACCCUUCGGGGUUAGUGGCGGACGGGUAAGUAACACGUGGGAACGUGCCUUUAGGUUCGGAAUAGCUCCUGGAAACGGGUGGUAAUGCCGAAUGUGCCCUUCGGGGGAAAGAUUUAUCGCCUUUAGAGCGGCUCGCGUCUGAUUAGCUUGUUGGUGGGGUAAUGGCCCACCAAGGCUACGAUCAGUAGCUGGUCUGAGAGGAUGACCAGCCACAUUGGGACUGAGACACGGCCCAAACUCCUACGGGAGGCAGCAGUGGGGAAUCUUGCGCAAUGGGCGUAAGCCUGACGCAGCCAUGCUGCGUGUAUGAUGAAGGUCUUAGGAUUGUAAAAUACUUUCACCGGUGAAGAUAAUGACUGUAGCCGGAGAAGAAGCCCCGGCUAACUUCGUGCCAGCAGCCGCGGUAAUACGAAGGGGGCUAGCGUUGCUCGGAAUUACUGGGCGUAAAGGGAGCGUAGGCGGACAUUU
rnacentral:rRNA from 1 species